UCCUGGAUAGCUCAGUUGGUUAGAGUGCGAUGCUGAUAAUGCCAAGGUUGUGGGUUCUAUCCCCAAAUGGGAC